GAUGAACGCUGGCGGCGUGCCUAAUACAUGCAAGUCGAGCGAACAGACGAGGAGCUUGCUCCUCUGACGUUAGCUGCGGACGGGUGAGUAACACGUGGAUAACCUACCUAUAAGACUGGGAUAACUUCGGGACACCGGAGCUAAUACCGGAUAAUAUAUUGAACCGCAUGGUUCAAUAGUGAAAGACGGUUUUGCUGUCACUUCUAGAUGGAUCCGCGCCGCAUUAGCUAGUUGGUCAGGUAACGGCUUACCAAGGCAACGAUGCGUAGCCGACCUGAGAGGGUGAUCGGCCACACUGGAACUGAGACACGGUCCAGACUCCUAAGGGAGGCAGCAGUAGGGAAUCUUCCGCAAUGGGCGAAAGCCUGACGGAGCAACGCCGCGUGAGUGAUGAAGGUCUUCGGAUCGUAAAACUCUGUUAUUAGGGAAGAACAAAUGUGUAAGUAACUAUGCACGUCUUGACGGUACCUAAUCAGAAAGCCACGGCUAACUACGUG
rnacentral:rRNA from 1 species